UACGUAGGGGGCGAGCGUUGUCCGGAAUCAUUGGGCGUAAAGCGCGUGUAGGCGGCUCGGUAAGUCUGCUGUGAAAGUCCAGGGCUCAACCCUGGGAUGCCGGUGGAUACUGUCGAGCUCGAGUCCGGAAGAGGCGAGUGGAAUUCCUGGUGUAGCGGUGAAAUGCGCAGAUAUCAAGAGGAACACCUGCGGCGAAGGCGGGUUGCUGGGCCGACACUGACGCUGAGGCGCGAAAGCCAGGGGAGCGAACGGG
rnacentral:rRNA from 1 species